CAUGUAGGCGGAUUAAUAAGUUUGAAGUGAAAUCCUAUAGCUUAACUAUAGAACUGCUUUGAAAACUGUUAAUCUAGAAUGUGGGAGAGGUAGAUGGAAUUUCUGGUGUAGGGGUAAAAUCCGUAGAGAUCAGAAGGAAUACCGAUUGCGAAGGCAAUCUACUGGAACAUUAUUGACGCUGAGAUGCGAAAGCGUGGGGAGCAAACA
rnacentral:rRNA from 1 species